UGCAAUUGGUCCCAUAUUUUUUGGAUUAAAAAUGAAGAAGAUAUUGAUUUUUGAAAAUAAUGGGAAUAAAAAAAAUUAAAUCAGAAAAUAGAAAAUAAGAAAAAACAAGGAGCGUUGGAUUGGAUCUCAUUAAUUGACGUGGCCAAUCCUGAGGUUCAGAAGUGCGCGCUCAUGGUAAGUCCAAGUCAAUGAGAAACAUCCAACAUUAAAA
rnacentral:lncRNA from 1 species